rnacentral:rRNA from 1 species
GACGAACGCUGGCGGCGUGCUUAACACAUGCAAGUCGAACGCUGAAGCCCUUUCGGGGGUGGAUGAGUGGCGAACGGGUGAGUAACACGUGGGUAAUCUGCCCUGUACUUCGGGAUAAGCCUUGGAAACGGGGUCUAAUACCGGAUAGGACCUGUCCUCGCAUGGGGGUGGGUGGAAAGUUCCGGCGGUAUGGGAUGAGCCCGCGGCCUAUCGGGUGGUUGGUGGGGUAGUGGCCUACCAAGGCGACGACGGGUAGCCGGCCUGAGAGGGUGGCUGGUAAAGCUGGGAUUGAGACACGGCCCCGACUCCUACGGGAGGCAGCAGGGGGGAAUCUUGCGCAAUGGGCGAAAGCCUGACGCAGCAACGCCGCGUGGGGGAUGACGGCCUUCGGGUUGUAAACCUCUUUCGACAUCGACGAAGGGGCCCUGUUGUGGGGUUUUGACGGUAGGUGUAGAAGAAGCACCGGCUAACUACGUGCCAGCCGCCGCGGUAA